ACAAAUAUUCGAUUUGUCAUUACACGACUCCACAAACCCGAAACGGUUUACCAUAAAUAUUAAUAUCCAUUUAUUAGAUUUAACUCGGAGAAAUUAAAAACGCGGGUUUAAUGGUUUCUUCGUUUUGAUAUUUCUUUUUUUUUUAUAUAUAUAUAUAUACCACACACAUACCGACUGACCGAAUUGUGGCAAGUGUGUGCGUGUGUAUGUAUGGUCAUUUUG